CUUAGACUCUCUCCUCUCUCAACUCUCAACCCUAGGUUAUAGCCUCCACCACCGCCGUAAGGAGAGACUCGCCAAUCGCAGCUUCUUCUUCGAGCUCGGUGUCCGAUGUUGUCUUCUUCUACUCAGCCCCACUUCAUAUGGCUUCCUGUUGUGGCUCCAUGGACUGUGGUAACUAAGAAGAUUAUAGCUGCUGCAGAAACUAUUAGAAGCACCAAAAUUCCAACAACUAAUGCUACAUUGCUACUACAGGAAUAAGUACAUUGUUUUUCAUCUUCUCAAUUGUUUCGAUGUGUUGGUUGCAUGAUAAUGCAGAACUACAUAGCUAAUCUUAAUGCAGAGAAGAUGAAUAACUGGUAGUGGUUGUAACAGAAGCAAUUUAACUAACUUCCUUCGAUGGAAUCUCCUCUUUCUCUUGAAUUCUGGAAACAGCAUCAUGGGUUUGCUUAACCUAAAACUCAAUUAUAAUGCUUCUUCUCCUGCUAUUCACUCUCCUUUCUCUUUCAACAAUCACUCAUCUAUCACACUUUCUUCUUAUCAGUUCAAUUCUUUCCUCAUUUCAUUUCAUGUAAUCAUAUAUUCAUGUUCUGUUUCUCUUUCAUAAUUAGUUGCUCUUUUUAUUCAUUAAAAAAUUAAUUUGCUUAUUUAUUUUUUAAUUCAAUUUGCAUACUUAAUAGCUGUUAUGACAUAGUUUGUUUAUUCAAGCUUUAGUUUUAAGGUUAACUCAUGGUCUAGUUAUGAUUAAAUUAAAAAUAUAUGGUUUUUCUAGCUAGAAGUAGGGGAAUACAAUUUCAAGUUUCUAGCACAAAAUAAAAAAGAGACAAAAAAACAAAAUUGAAGCCUUUCUCUUAAUUGCUGUGUUUUUAUUUCUUCUUGUUUGUUCUGAAUUUUUGUUACAACUUGAUUUAGCUGGAGGCAGGGAAGCAACUUUCAACUCAACGAGGCUAUCAUUGCUUUUGACGGUAAAUGAAGAAAGAGAAGUAUCCCAGAGAAGCUUUCUAACAACAUUCACUUAUUUGUCAUUAAAAUUGGAAACCUUGGACAAUAAUUCUUUAGAGUGUUUUAUUUAUAAUGAUGUUUUAGAGUAUUUAUUUAUAAUUUAUUAUUUUUAUUAUAAAA